rnacentral:rRNA from 1 species
AUGAAGACCUUUCUCAUCCUUGCCCUCGUGGCGACCACCGCCACAACUGCAGUU